UGGAAUGGAAAUCUGAAACCAGGACUGGGCUCAAAGGUGACUAUUUCCAACGCUGCAGUAUUACUAGAUGAAACUCCUCCAGAACUGGAAAGCAUUACGAUCGAACCCAAUGGAAGACUUGUAUGGGGCACAGAUGGUGACUAUAGCCUGACGCUCAAAUACAUUCUUAUUCAUGGACGAAUGGAUAUUGGUUCUGAAGACUGCAUAUUUAAUAGAAAGGCGCACAUAACAUUAGUAGGGAUUCGAGGACAGUAUCGGAUAAUUGUUGGCGGUAUUCACGAGUUUGACGAGAAGUUUAUUGGCGUGGCUCCGGGAGGAACCCUUGAAAUACACGCAGAGAGAAAGUUAUCGUGGACAAAACUUACAAAAACUGUCCCGAAAAUAACCUCUGCAAAUGGACUUAUUUAUAGGC